CCACAUUAGGAUUACCUUCGGGUCACCUCUGCCUCCCGCACAGUCCAGCUGAGAGCUUGCCCGAGCACGUGACCUGGGGGGUUCGGAGCCCAGCGGGGAAGUGGACCUCCGUUCCAGGACGCCUGGGUCUCAUGGAUAGGGAGGGAGUCGCCAUCAGAGAGGACAGCGGAAGGCCUUGGACUCGCUUUCUGUGCUCUGAUUUAGGCAAGCACCCCACGAACUGAGAGCCACAUCCCCAGUCCCUCUACGCCGCCCGCACUUAAAAAAAAAAAAAAAAAGUUUUUCUGCUUGUAACGACUUGGGGGGAGAUGGAAUUUUGGGAAAGGGAAAUAAAUGUUUUAGGAGGUAAGAUCUUUAUUUGAACAAGCUAGCUGUCUAGGGAAACGGAGGGAGCCCAGGAGAGCUGAGGACCAGAUUCCCUGAGGCAGGGACGCUGGUUAUCCAUGGCCAUACGGAUUAACUAGUUGUGGAGUCCCUUCGAAGAACUGAUGCCCAAAACGCUGGGAAUUAUUCAGCCAGGCGCUCGAAGGAACUUUAGUUCUCACCUGCUUAAGAGGCUGAGGGCAAAGCUUUAUGUUUAAAGACUGUUUGAUGGCUCCUGAGAUGAUUCAGCCAGUAAAGGAACUUGCCACCAAGCCUGAUCGCCUGGAACCCACGCGGUAAAGAGAACCAGUUCCCACAAGUUGUCCUCUCAUUUCCACACAAAUUAAAUAAAUAGAUAGUGCGUG
rnacentral:lncRNA from 1 species